ACCCCGAUAGCAUCUCUCUGCCAGUGCCAAGACUGCAGCGCUCUGUUCCUGCACAGGCAGGCAUGGAGACUCCUGCUUUCUGCUUCGUCAGAGGGAUUGUGAUGGCUCAGACGUCUUCUUUUGUACCCAAGCAUGAAAGCACAAAGCACAAGAAGCAGAAGCCUUGGCAAACUGAGGACACCCAACCUGGGAGAGAGAGAAAAUUUCACAUGGUUUGAGAAACCAGAGCCAAUAGAAAAUCAGGAGUAAGGCAAGGGGCAGGGGCAAUGAAAGUUAUUCAGGAAAAAGAAAACCCCUCAGAGCCACGUUUCUGUGAGAACAGCCUUUGCUGGAAGCAGCUGCUCAGACCUCCUGUAUUCUCCUGGAGGCCUCCCUCCUUUCCUUGCUCCUCUAUUUACUGCUGCUGAACUGCACUUCCAGGUGUUGCCAAAAGACCAGGACACAGCUGUGGUCACAAAGGUGGAGAAAACACCCUGGCCAGCACACCAGGUGAGAUGGCAGAAGCAGCACUACCACAACUCCCUUCCCACCUCCUUGUUCAGCUGCUUUGCUGCCCAGAAUGUCAUACAAAAAACAAAACCAACCGCAACUACCAAAAAAACCCCAACAACCCCCAAAACAAAACAAACAACUAGGGAAAAAAAGGGGGGAAAAAUGCUGCUCUGGGCAAGGCAAAAUUACUCAUCCCCCAGUCUGGGCAGGAAAGGGGGAGUGGGCUGAAGGUCAUUAUAUACUGACAGAGCAAGUUUCUGGGUACUUGGAUGCGUUUUUGCUUCUUCCUUGCCCCAGACUUGUCAAGAGAUCUGCAGAAGUUUGAUGUCUUUGAAGCUGUUUCCUCUUGCUCAAGCCGCCCGACGUUGGCCGCACGGGCUCUGACGCAGCAUCGCGGUGCCACAAGCGCUGUCGCAACCCUGCUGAGCUCCUGCCCAUCCUCUGGGAACCCAGCACUGCCUCUGCGAGGCUCCUGUUGGAAAAGAAAAC